AUUGAACGCUGGCGGCAGGCCUAACACAUGCAAGUCGAGCGGCAGCGGGAAGUAGCUUGCUACUUUGCCGGCGAGCGGCGGACGGGUGAGUAAUGUCUGGGAAACUGCCCGAUGGAGGGGGAUAACUACUGGAAACGGUAGCUAAUACCGCAUAACGUCGCAAGACCAAAGAGGGGGACCUUCGGGCCUCUUGCCAUCGGAUGUGCCCAGAUGGGAUUAGCUAGUAGGUGGGGUAACGGCUCACCUAGGCGACGAUCCCUAGCUGGUCUGAGGGGAUGACCAGCCACACUGGAACUGAGCCACGGUCCAGACUCCUACGGGAGGCAGCAGUGGGGAAUAUUGCACAAUGGGCGCAAGCCUGAUGCAGCCAUGCCGCGUGUAUGAAGAAGGCCUUCGGGUUGUAAAGUACUUUCAGCGGGGAGGAAGGUGUUGAGGUUAAUAACCUCAGCAAUUGACGUUACCCGCAGAAGAAGCACCGGCUAACUCCGUGCCAGCAGCCGCAGUAA
rnacentral:rRNA from 1 species